UUUUGUUUGCUUUGGCCAUUGCUGUCUUAUUCAUGUUGGCUGAGAAAGACUCAUAGGGUGUUAAAAUAGAAGCACCUUUACUUAAUUUGCAACUGAGGAAGGAAAUAUAGAAAGACGAAGUGACUAGUGACUGCCAACAUGACUCAGCUUUAUAAGAGCCAGGCCCUUAUCAUACAUUAUCCCAGUCCUUAAAACAGCUCCCGAAGCUUGGUAUUAAGUAGCUCCACGCCACAGAAAACACGGAAUCAGAAGCAGCCAGCGUCACUCAGACAUUUAAAAUUAACUCGCUGUUCCCAGAAAUGGAACCUGAAUGUCUCAAGAAAAAGCGACUAUCCCCUAUGCAAGCAGACUCUGGAGAGCUAAAUCUGACUGGAAACCCUCCUGCAGUUUUAUUGCUGUCAUGAUCAGGCUGGUCUUGAACUCACAGAGCUACACCUGCUACUGCCUCCUGAGUUCUGG